UGCGGACAGAUGCCCGCGCUGUUUCUGAUUGGACCAUGAAUCUUACCUACCCAAUGAUAGGCCCGUUGGCUCAUCGGUCACUGAGCAGGAGGGUGGUGUGGAGUCGCAGGUUUUGGCGUUUUUGAAAUACCUAUGAGUGAUAAAGGACCUUUUUCAGACACUUCCACUUUAGAAUUCUUAUUCGUGGGUUAUAUGAAGAUACAGUACUGGUGUUUGACCAGAGAUCAUGUAGACAAAAUUGUGCACAAUAUACAUUGCCACUGACACAAAAGGGUAGGUAAAAUUUUCUAAUACUUCUUACAGCCCCUCAAGGCCACCCAUGAAAAUUGCUUCUAAUGCACUCUCUAGAACAUGAUGGAG